rnacentral:rRNA from 1 species
CAGAAGAAGCACCGGCUAACUCUGUGCCACCAGCCGCGGUAAUACAGAGGGUGCAAGCGUUAAUCGGAAUUACUGGGCGUAAAGCGCACGUAGGCGGUUUUUUAAGUCAGAUGUGAAAGCCCCGGGCUCAACCUGGGAAUUGCAUUUGAAACUGGAAAACUAGAGUGUGUGAGAGGGGGGUAGAAUUCCAAGUGUAGCGGUGAAAUGCGUAGUUGGAGGNAGANGGAAUACCAGUGGGCGAAGGCGGCCCCCUGGCACAACACUGACGCUCAGGUGCGAAAGCGUGGGGAGCANACAUGAUUAGAUACCCUGGUAGUCCACGCCGUAAACGAUGUCUNCUAGCUGUUCGUGACCUUGUGUCGUGAGUAGCGCAGCUAACGCACUAAGUAGACCGCCUGGGGAGUACGGUNCGNCNAAGAUUAAAACUCAAAUGAAUUGACGGGGGCCCGCACAAGCGGUGGAGCAUGUGGUUUAAUUCGACGCAACGCGAAGAACCUUACCUACUCUUGACAUCCAGAGAAGACUGCAGAGAUGCGGUUGUGCCUUCGGGAACUCUGAGACAGGUGCUGCAUGGCUGUCGUCAGCUCGUGUUGUGAAAUGUUGGGUUAAGUCCCGCAACGAGCGCAACCCUUAUCCUUAGUUGCCAGCACGUAAUGGUGGGAACUCUAGGGAGACUGCCGGUGAUAAACCGGAGGAAGGUGGGGACGACGUCAAGUCAUCAUGGCCCUUACGAGUAGGGCUACACACGUGCUACAAUGGUAUGUACAGAGGGAGGCAAGCUGGCGACAGUGAGCGGAUCUCUUAAAGCAUAUCGUAGUCCGGAUCGCAGUCUGCAACUCGACUGCGUGAAGUCGGAAUCGCUAGUAAUCGCAAAUCAGAAUGUUGCGGUGAAUACGUUCCCGGGCCUUGUACACACCGCCCGUCACACCAUGGGAGUGGGUUGCAAAAGAAGUAGGUAGCUUAACCUUCGGGAGGGCGCUUACCACUUUGUGAUUCAUGACUGGGGUGAAGUCGUAACAAGGUAACC